rnacentral:rRNA from 1 species
CUGGCGGCAAGCCUCAUACAUGCAAGUCGAACGAGAAAGCAUCUUCGGAUGUGAGUAAAGUGGCGGACGGGUGAGUAAUACAUAGGAAUCUACCCAAUGGCGGGGGACAGCUCGAGGAAACUCGAAUUAAUACCGCAUAAUCUCUACGGAGUAAAGAGGGCUUCGGCUCUCACCAUCGGAUGAGCCUAUGCAAGAUUAGCUUGUUGGUAAGGUAAUGGCUUACCAAGGCUACGAUCUUUAGCUGGUUUGAGAGGAUGACCAGCCACAUCGGGACUGAGACACGGCCCGGACUUCUACGGAAGGCAGCAGUAGGGAAUAUUGGACAAUGAGCGAAAGCUUGAUCCAGCUAUGCCGCGUGUGCGAUGACGGCCCUCGGGUUGUAAAGCACUUUAGGUAACGAGGAAAAGUUAAGUGUUAAUACCACUUAACCAUGACGUUAAUUACAGAAUAAGCACCGGC